CUUGAGCUAUUGGAUCUAUGCAACGUGAUGCAUGAGGACUUCACAGAGUUGAAGGCCAUCAUUCAAGAUAUGCAAGUGGCCCUGAGAAAAGGAGAUGAUGCAGCUGUUCAAUCCAAGACCCAAUCAUACUACCGCUUGUUGAAGAAGGCAAAGAAACAUUUCAAGACUGCAAAGAAGGUUACUUAUGAAAAGGAGGAUUGCAGGAUGGCCAGGCUAUUGAGGGAGGCUAGAGAUAUAUCAACCUCUAUGCUGGAGUCCACACUGCAUCUCCUGUCAAAGCAAAUCGAAAUGCCCAAACAAUCACUUGUUUCCAAGGCAUUCAACAAGAAGAAAGUAGUUAUUUGCGAGGAGGAGCAAUUGCAGGUGUUAGAGUGCAGCAUCAGAGAUCUUGAGAGCGGAGCAGGACAUCUGUUCAGGAAAUUGGUCCAGAGCAGAGUUUCUCUCCUCAACAUUCUUAGCUCAUAGAUACUCCAGAAUCUUCACUCGACACCCAGCGAUUGGCAUCCGCCUUUUAAAGGAUCUGCUGAUCUUUCACAUUGUAUAUAUAUAAGUAGAAAUGUACAGAAAACUCCAUACAUAAUAGUGAACAAAAGUUUUGGCCAAACUCAGUGUCAUGAAAAUCCUUGCAUGCUUCUGAUUUCAACCUCUAUGCGAUUAUCCAUGUCAGUACUGUUGCCCUUGUGCAGUUGUGCUUUGCUCCGAACAUAGUCUGCAAAAGAAAAGACAGCAUGUGAUCUGUGAAAUACGUGCGGAAUUAUUUGAUGACGCCAACAAAAAAAAAAUGUUCGAUGAAUGCAGAAUCACAAGGAAUUAUCCAUUGGCCCUGAACAUUCGCUUGUCUACUCAGGUCUCAACAGGAUGGCCGCGAAGGAUUCGGCUGGGAACGCAAGGCAUUGCGAAGAUACCGCAGAUACCGUGUGCUAUUGAGUUAGGGUUAGUGGGAUACCUCCGCCAGAACUGAUGGAGACCUCCGCGAUCUUGUCGGGGGCUGCCUUCCAGGGCGGGGGUAGCGGCGGGAAGGGUGGUCGCGGCCUCACCGGCAGCCGGCGGCGAGCGGCGCAUCUCCUCGCUCCUCUUCUUCUUCUCCGGUGGGGGGUGGUGGCGAGUGGUGAGACGAAGACACGUGGAUUGGGGAACGAGUGGG
rnacentral:lncRNA from 1 species